UUCCAUUAACUCAAUGAUUCAGCGGAGUCGCUGAUCACCAGGUCCUCAACCGGCAUCGGCGUACCCUCCCAAAGGAGGCUGGUGCUCUGAGGACACUUACAUCCAAGCGCCGACACAGCGUGCGCGACCCUAUUGGACAGUACCUAACAGAGGAAUCAAUAAAAGAAGACCUGAUCAUGGACUUUAGGGCAAGUACAACGGAUCGACGAGGUCGUCGAUUUGCGUCGGGAGGAGCAAAAUACGUCUUCGCCGAGCGCCUUCAAGACGGAGAGAGAGAGCAGCCGGCGCUUCCCUCGUCUACGGCUUCUUCCCCGUUCCCCCAGGAUGUCGACGGCUCCCAGCACCGUUGUAGGACGCGCCGUUGCUCGAGGCCGGCGGCGGGAUCCGGUGCGCGCGCGCGGAUCCGUUUGGUGGCAAAGCUUCGCGCCUUUCCCCCCAAGUCCAACUCCAUAUACCCCACCCCCGUCCUCAAUCCCGCCCCCAAAUCCUAGUUGUUGACGGCGAGAUGUUGCGGCCACAGAAGGAUGCGGCGGCGGCGACUUGUGAGCUGCUCAAGGCAGAUGAAACCCGGAUGCGGAAAGCGGCUCAAGCAUCCUGGCGGAAGGGGACCUCAUCGACAUCAGCGUGGAAGGAACCGGCGGCACAGAUUCGGAAGGCUCAUGCGGGAGCUGCGGCGGCGCGGGUCCAGGGCGAUCUGCCGCAGAGCAGAGGAGUUUGCCGCCGGAGCAAAACGGCAUGGGUGGAUUUGGCGGAGCUACCUCACCAGCCUCCUUCACCGACGGAACCUGCUUCUUCAACGGCAGCUUGUUCGGCGGCGCUUCACAAAGCCCCAUGGCUCAAGCAUGGAUGCACUUUCAAGUUUCAGAUUCUGGAUCAUGGAAGUCAAAUCUGCCUGAACAAGUUGAUGCCCUGGAAGUGAAAUGUGCCCAGGUUGGAGGCUAAAUAUUUCAAGUGACUGAACUGUGUCAUUUAGGUUGUCUGAAAUGUCCUAGGUUGGAGGCUAAAUAUUUCAAGUGACUGAAAUGUGCCCUGGAAGUGAAAUGUGCCCAGGUUGAUGCAACUCAAGAAUGAUUUAGUUGAGCACAUAUGGCAUCGUUAUGGGCAAAGGAACAAUUAGAGCAACAUGUGUAAUCAAAUAGUGACUUUGUUAUUAUAUGAUGCCAUGUAUUCCUAAGAACCUUUUUCAUAUGAAUAUAUAUAUAUAUAUUAUACAUGCUUAUUUUA